rnacentral:lncRNA from 1 species
UAAAACUAUUUUUAGUACAAAAUAUUAAUUUUAAUUAUAACGAACAAAUACUUGAAUAACUAGAAAAAAUGAUUAUCUAAUGCGAACAAAAAAAAUCAUAUGAUGAACAAAUGAUUAUAAACAACGAAUAAAAUAUUGAACAUGAAGAAAACUGUAUGAUGCAAAUAACGGAGACGUACAAAUAAUAAUAUACUCAAGCAUAACAAUAAAAAUUUGAUAUUAUAUGAUAAAAUAGUACAAUAUGAGCAUUGGAAGAUUUUUUUAGAUACAUAUAUCUGGCACAAGUUAUACGAACUCAAGAAAAAUAAUUAUACUUACAAAAAAAAUAAAUGAACUCACAAAAUAAAAAUAAAUACAUCCGGAACCAAUUAUAUAAACUCACAAAAAAAAACAACAGUACAAAUUGAAUUAUAUGACUAACGGAACAAAAAUCUAUAUACCAUGAACAAAUUGUAGGAACUCACACUAUAAGUAUAUAUACACAUAAAACAAAUUAUAUAAACUCACCGAAUAAAAAUGUGUACACUUGAAACAAAUGCAUUAUGUAUAUAUAACAAUAUUUUAAUCCAUGAGUCUUCAUGGUUGACCAAUUUAGUCUAUGAAAGAGAACAAAUAAUUCAACACGUGAUAUGGUUGACCAAUUCAUAUCAUGAUAGGCAAAAAAAAAUAUUUGUACAUGACCAACAAGUUAUUAUAGAAAGAAUAAGAAGAAAAAGUUAGUAUUCAACAAUUAAAUGAGUCUAUAUCUUUGACCAGUUCAAUCUAUAAAAGGCGAAUAAAUAAAUUAGCAACAAUGAGUGUAUAAAUUGAACACAUAAUUUUACACUACGAACUAAUAAGUCUAUAUAGAACAACUAAAUAUAAGAUUACUUUAAAUUAUAAUUUUGAAUGUACCGCUAAAAAAAUUAUGUACUAAGAAAUGAAGUAAUGGAGAAAGCAAAAAAAAAUCAAUGAGGAAACAAGAAAGAUAAAUUGCGUACCAAGAGGGAAUAUGUUGAAGAGAAUUUAAAUUAAAAUAUUAAAAAAAUAGACAUUAAACUAAUAAAAAGGGAAACAAAAUAAAAGAGAGAAAAAAGAAAAGGAAUGAGAAAAAAGGUGUAAUCGGAAAAAGGUAAAGAAAAGAAAAGAAGAAGAGAGAAGAAAAAAAGCAAAGGAAAAGAGAACAAGGAAAAAAAGAGAAGGGAUGAAAAUAAAUAAAUAAAAGAGAAGAAAAUAAAUAAAAAUAAAAAUAAUAGAGAAAGAAAAUGAAACAAAGAGAUAAG